rnacentral:tRNA from 1 species
GGGGUCUUAGUUUAAAGGCUAGAAUACUUGGUUUGCACCCAGGGGAUGAGAGUUCGAGUCUCUCAGAUUCCACCA